rnacentral:lncRNA from 1 species
AUAUAUAUAUAUCAUUGAACUUGAUGGGAUACGAAUUCUACGAAACUAAUUUCAACGAUCCAACUGCCAAACUUGUUUGCAUAUGCUUUGAGAUCGCAUUAGCAAAAAAUAGCAAAAAACAAACAUUCAGAAAUCAAGUAACGGGGAAAAACUUUUCAACGGUUAUUUUAACUCUGAUUUUGAUGCUUUUUUAUAGCUACACUUCUUGACUCUAUAUAAAUACAAUGAAUGAACUCGAUCUUCAAUUUAAAAUAUUUACACUAAUGAAUACCACAAAAUCUUAUGUUAUACUUAAUAAAAAUAUGAAUAAACUCGUAAGUGUUAGUGAAUCUAUUGUUUUGAUGGGAUACGCAUUCCACGAAACUAGUUUCAACAAUCCAACCGUCAAACAUGUUUGUAUAUACUUUGAGAUCGCAUACGCCAAAAAUUGAAAAAAAAAAAACAUUUAGAGAUAAAGUAUUGGGACAAAACUUUUCGACAAUUAUAAACGAAAAAUCACGAUUUAACGGUUAUUUUAACUUCGAUUUUGAUGAUUUUUUACAGUUACACUCUUUGACCCUAUAUGAAUACAAUGAAUGAAUUCAAUCUUCAAUUUAAAAUAUUUACACUAGUAGAUACCACAAAAUCUUAUGUUAUACUUAAUGAAAGUAUAAAUAAACUUUAACUGUUAGUGAAUUUAUCGUUUUGAUAGGAUACGCAUUCUGCGAAACUAAUUUCAACGAUCCAACCAUCAAACUUGUUUGUAUAUGCUUCAAAAUUGCAUACGCCAAAAAUUGCAAAAACCAAACAUUUAGAGAUCAAGUAACGGGACAAAAUUUUCAACGAUGAUCAACGAAAAAUCAUGAUUUAACGGUUAUUUUAACUUUGAUUUUGAUGAUUUUUUACAGCUACACUCCUUGACACUAUACAAAUACAAUGAAUGAACUCGAUUUUCAAUUUAAAAUAUUUACACUAGUGGAUACCACAAAAUCUUAUGUUAUACUUAAU